rnacentral:rRNA from 1 species
AUAAGUAAGCGGAGGAAAAGAAACUAAACAGGAUUCCCUCAGUAAUGGCGAAUGAACAGGGAUGAGCUCAGUAUGGAAAUUGGGGCCUGUGGCCUUGAAUUGUAGUCUGGAGAUGUACUACCAACUGGGGCGCAGAUGUAAGCCUCUUGGAAAAGAGCAUCAAUGAGGGUGAGAGUCCCGCUUGGCAUCUGCAGUCCCCAGUGCACGGUGUACCUUCUAAGAGUCACGUUCCUCGGGAUUGGAGCGCAAAUUGGGUGGUAAAUUUCAUCUAAAGCUAAAUAUUGCUUCGAGACCGAUAGCAAACAAGUACCAUGAGGGAAAGGUGAAAAGGACUUUGAAAAGAGAGUUAAAAGUGCCUGAAAUUGCUGAAAGGGAAGCGAAUGGAGCCAGCGUACCUUGGCAAGAUUGCUGCGUGUCAAUGUGAUUGCUUGCUUCCUCAACGUAAGUGUGGUUGUAAGUCUUGAGCAAGACAUGCGUGGUGCUUCUUGCCUUGUGUGUCACCGCCAGCUCGCAGCUGAGGAAAACUUCAGGGACAUGGUAGCCUGCCCCCGGGUGUGUGAAUGUGCCUGCUGGAACUCGUUUGCGGGCUGCUUGGUGACUAAAUGGUUCCAUCCGACCCGUCUUGAAACAC